AGGUUAACUUUCUGCAGAAGAGAGCAUCCAUCCUUCAAGAAGAACUGACUACAUACCAAGGCAGAAGGUAACUGCGCGAAGGCUUACCUGAGUAGCACAGGGCGAGGGCAGUGGAUGUCACUGUCUGGGCUGCACUGUGGAUUUCUUCCAGCAGGUUUGAAGAUUUGGAUAUUGUAAACUGUGAGAUCAAUGGCAUUUUUUAAUACUUAAAUGUAAUUAAGAUCAUAAACACGUGCAUCACUCAUACGCUAUGGGGUGGUUUUAUUUGUGUCUGCCUAAGUUAUUUUUUUUUAACAUUCCUUUAUUUCGGAUUUCCAUAUUCGCGUGCAUUUGAGCGUGUGCUGAGAAUUGCUUAUAUUGGGGAAAGAAGUGAUUUCUCAUAAUAUGCCUUGUUGACGCUUUUGUAUAGAAUUUUACCAGUUGCGUAUGAUCAAAAUCACGUUUGUAGUAUCGCAUCACAAUUUUUAGCAUGCUUACAUUGUUUUCAUGUUUGUGUUCACAUAUUAUUAAAACAUUAUAUUUUGUACUUAUCAA